CAGUCGCCGCGGUAAAACGAAGGGGGCUAGCGUUGUUCGGAUUUACUGGGCGUAAAGCGCACGUAGGCGGAUCGAUCAGUCAGGGGUGAAAUCCCAGAGCUCAACUCUGGAACUGCCUUUGAUACUGUCGAUCUGGAGUACGGAAGAGGUGAGUGGAAUUCCGAGUGUAGAGGUGAAAUUCGUAGAUAUUCGGAGGAACACCAGUGGCGAAGGCGGCUCACUGGUCCAUUACUGACGCUGAGGUGCGAAAGCGUGGGGAGCAAACAGGAUUAGAUACCCCGGUAGUCCCUGUCUCUUAUAC
rnacentral:rRNA from 1 species